UGAUUUUUUUAUAUUUUUGCUUCUGAUUAACUUAUGUGCAUCGAGGUGCAUCAGGUAUCAUGAAUGGAAAUAUUAUACCAAUCUAUGCGUCUCACAAUCGUUUCCUAAUUAAGCAUUACCAAGCGUGCAGUGGAGACAUAUUAAUAUAUAAGGUAAUACAAGAAACAGGACUUUGCUAUUUGAUCACUUAAUAGUGGCAGUAUUUCAGGCUCAGACUGCGUGCAUGUCUGCAUACUGCAUGCAUGUGCGGUUUAAUUUUUCAGUGCAUGCGUACUCAUAUAUAUCACAAGAAGAUGUGGUCGACUUGGAGAACGUCUUAACAUUUGACGGAGUAGGGAUAGACAACCUUUUUUAAAGACGCGGUAGCAACACCAGCACCAUUUAUUCUGGCGAUGACAUGUCCAUGUACAUUGAUAUGGUUGACACUCACCUCAGGCUUCAUGGCCAUUUACAGAAUAUCUAUAUGGAUGGAGUAUUUGUUUGUUAUUUUCUAAAAAAGGUAACAUAAUCCACUAAAUCUUUCUUCCUCUCACCAUGAUACUUAACGUGGUUUGAUUACUCAACAAUAAAAGAUCUGAAGGCAGAAAUUGAUUCAAGAUGGGACCUUUCUUGCAUUCUAAUUUCGUGCAUUAUAUUUCUUAUCAAUAUUUUGUAGUUAACAUAGUGUAGAAUGAUAUAUUUUGAUGAAAGGGAUAAGGAAACAAUACAUGCAACAAUGCAGAUCUGCGUAUAUUCGGCCAAUGGCCACUCCAGUACUUCUCUAUGAACAAAAUAUGUGAUAUAUGGCUGC